AUUGAGUACGAUAAUCUGGCAUCGGCGGCCAUUCUUCUCCCCGCCAGCCAUCAGUGGUUCAACAGGUCCACCUCUACUCCGCCGGCACUCUCCUGGGCAACGACGCCCUACCAUUAACGUCCCUCUUGGCUGAUUCUGUUGGUGUGUCUCUGACCCAGAAGGGAGAAUCUCCACGCUGACUUCCCCCAUGAUGUCUUACGGCAGAGGCCCGCCGGAUAUCAAGGGCAUGACGUCCCUUAAGGUGGAUAACUUGACCUACCGCACCACCCCAGAGGACUUGCGGCGGUCCUUCGAGAAGUACGGGGAGAUCGGGGACGUCUACAUACCCCGGGACCGCUUCUCCAGGGAGUCCCGCGGUUUUGCCUUCAUCCGGUACUAUGACCGCCGCGAUGCCGAGGAUGCCAUGGAGGCGAUGGAUGGACGGCGGCUGGACGGAAGGGAGCUGAGAGUCCAGAUGGCACGCUACGGCCGCCCCGAGACCCCGCCGCACCGCCGCCGCCGCCGCAGUUCUCGUUCAAGGUCACGCUCAAGGUCGCGCAGGAGGAGCCGGAGGUCAAGGUCGCGGUCCAGGACAAGGUCUCGCUCCAGGCACCGUCGCUCUCGCUCAAGGAGCAACAGCCGGUCCCGGUCUCGCUCGCACACCCGCUCUCGCUCAGGCAGCAAGAGCCGCUCUCGCUCCAUUCCCCCGGAGCAGGACCAGGCUCGCUCGGCUCGCUCCGACCACCACCGCUCACCCCCCCAUGCCCCCCCGGCACCCCCCAACGGCAUGGAUGGGGGACCGGGAGGGGAGGGGGGCGCUCGCUCUAAAUCAAGGUCUCACUCCAAGUCUCGCUCGAGGUCCAGGACACCAAGGUCACGGUCAAGGUCCAAGUCGCCUCGCUCGAGGUCAAGGUCAAGGUCCAUGGAGUGAAACCCUACAUAGACAAGGCUGAAGAAGAAGAGGAAGAAGAAGAAGAAAGGGAGAGAAAGAGAGAGAGAGAGAGAGAGAGAAAAAAAAAUUAAAAAUAUUACUGAAGGCGCUGAGCUGUUGCUGGCUUGCUGUGUUGCUGUGUGGUGUGGUGAGGAGAGCGGAGGAGGUGGUGAUAGCAGUGUUGCGGUGAAUGCAGUCACAGUGGCGGUGAUGCAGUGUUGCGGUGAAUGCAGUCACAGUGGUGGUGAUGCGGUGUUGCGGUGAAUGCAGUCAGUGGCGGUGAUGCGGUGUUGCGGUGAAUGCAGUCACAGUGGCGGUGAUGCAGUGUUGCGGUGAAUGCAGUCAGUGGCGGUGUUGCGGUGAAUGCAGUCAGUGGCGGUGGUGCUCGAGUCAAGGUUAUGUUGGUGUGGGGGUCAUAGUUGGAGAUGAGAUGGCCAGCAAGAAUCUACCUGACGGGGCUUUACUAGGCGCACCCAACAUGGUACAGCAGGGACUGUUUUGGGGGCCAUGGGAGGCAGUGGUCUAGGGGCCGCUUUCACAGUCACUUUGUUUGUUUUGAGCGUUACCAAUGGCGCCGAUGGACGCUAUAGUUUUCCGCGUGAAACUGGCCUAUGGGGUCCUCUGUAUGGCCACCCGCACGACAAGUCCAGCCAGAGGAGUUUGGGGUCUGUACAGAGUUAUUCAUCCUGAACUCCAUAGCUGGGCACGAUAACAGAAAACCUUAUUCCUGAUAACCGAUAACUGAUAAUGGAAAACCUUAUCGGUGAUAACCGAUAUUCAUUAACUGGAGACACAAAUAUAGGCGAUAACCGAUACCCGAUAUAAAUCGACAAUUCCGAUACUAGCUAGCGAUAAGUCCGAUAGGCGAAAACGAUACUAUGUUGAUAUUUCAAAUAAAAAAAAACAUAGAUGAAUUCAAAUGUCAUUAUCUGUAUUUUAGAAAACUUACAAAACCGGAAAACCACACGUUGACACGUACCUUUCGACGGUAAUACUAGAAACGCCUGAACCGGUGUUGUGUUAUUUGGCGUCCCCGCCGUCAAAAGCACUAGCUUUUUUGUUUACAAACACUGGUCUCUCGUGAACUGCGCAUUCUCAGACCAGCAAGCGUAGACCUGUACAGUCUCACAAAGCUUUUUAACCGUAAUGAAGAGUUGCUGGAAGGCUGAAUCAGACAUACAGUACCACCAUCCCCGCUGUUUCUAGAACGACACUGUACGAGUUGUAUUUAUAUGUACAGAGUGUCGUUCUAGAAACAGCGAGGAUGGUGGUACUGUUUGUCUGAUUCAGCCUUCCAGCAACUCUUAAUGUGUUAAAAAGCUUUGUGAGACUGUACAGGGCUACGCUUACUGGUCUGAAUGUGCGCAGUUCACGAGAGACCAGUGUUUGUAAACAAAAGUGCCAGCUUUUGACGAUGGGACACCAAAUAACACAACAUCGGGUGCCUUCAAUACCAUGGCAUGCUCACAAACGAAUAUGGAAUAUCAAAUUUGAGGCAGUGAAUAAUCAUUUUGGGGGUAAGUUAAAUGAUUUUUCUCUUUGAUAUAUUGAUUUUUGAGUAACAAAAAACAUAACCUAGUGUUUUAAUGUUGAUGAUCUAAGUAUGAAAUCUUUUCACUGAAGAUAUUUCAUAACCCAAAGGUUUUUCAAACAACACCGGGCGCCCGGGCCACACAUGCGCAGUAGGGAGGAGACAACUUUUUUUCUGAGAGGCGGAAAAAAGUAGCGAUUAUCGCUAAUUUGGUCACAAAAGUAACGAAGAUACCGAUAUAUAUUUAAAUAAGUAGCGGAUGGCCAAUAACCCGAUUUUGUUAUCAGCGAUAAAGUAUCGCGAUGACUUAUCGCGACAACACCCAGCUAUGCUGAACUCUGUAGGGACCCCAAACUUGUCGGACCAGACUUGUCAUGCUAAGGAAGGGAGAAUCAGUUACCAGCUCAGUGCCACACAGUUUGGCGGCAUGGUGGAGGGAGGGGCCAGGUGGGUGCGAGUGGAGGCGGAAGAGGCGGAGGAAUUUGGGUGACCUGAACACCUCAAGCCAUUUUUUAAAUGUUUUUGGGGUAACUAAUUCCAUUUCUUUCAGAUUAUUUUUUUUUUUCCGAUAACCCACCAGGAGGCCCCCCCCCUCCCCCCCCCCCAAAAAAAAGCGGGUGAAUGCAAGAGGAGGAGGAGGCCAUUACAGCUAUUUCCAAAGAUCUUGUCACUGAAAUACAGUGCUCUUCAUUAAUAUGGGGGGCUUCGUGGUGCAGUGGCUAGCACACUUGGCUCACAACCGAGAGAGCCUGGGUUCCAUUCCUGGACGGAGUGGAAACAUUUGGGCGGCUUUUCCGAUACCCUACGCCCCUGUCCACCCAGCAGUGUACCAGGUAUUAAUCGGGGUUGUGUCCUGUCUCCUGGGAUCUGUUCCCUUCUCCUAUAAUUCCUUCCCCUACUGUCUCUCUCUGGCAUGUGACCACAGAUGUUGCACUGCCCACUAAACAAAACUUUCCUUGCAUGUCUCUCUCUCUGGCAUAUGACCACAGAUGUUGCGCCCACUAAACAAAACUUUCCUUGCCUAUCUCUCUCCGGCAUAUGACCACAGAUGUUGAGCCCACUAAACAAAACUUUCCUUGCCUGUCUCUCUCUGGCAUAUGACCACAGAUGUUGCGCUGCCCACUAAACAAAAACUUUCCUUGCCUUUCUCUCUCUGGCAUAUGACCACAGAUGUUGCACUGGCCACUAAACAAAACUUUCCAACUGUUCCCUUCUCCUAUAAUUCCUUCCCCUCCUAUCUCACUCCGUCAUAUGACCACAGAUAUUGCGCUGCCAACUAAACAAAACUUUCCUUGCCUGUCUCUCCGGCAUAUGACCACAGAUAUUGCGCUGCCCACUAAACAAAACAUUCCUUGCCUGUCUCUCUCCGGCAUGUGACCACAGAUGUUGUGCCCACUAAACAAAACUUUACAACUUCCAAAUGUGUAAUAUAUUGGUUUAACCCCUUCACUACGGCCAGGCCAAAACAGCGCCCCGUAUCCGAGAUCGCCGUGCGCACCAAAUUUCAAAUGUCGCUAUUGAAUAUAACAAGUUUUCAGCCAUAAACUCAACUUAAUCAUCAUGUAUUAUAUAUGAAAACAUGCAGAAUUAAAUUGUGCACAUAAAGAAACAUACAUUAAUUGAUAAUUUUGAGAUGUAAGCAUAAUUUGCCAAGGCUUUCCUAGGAGUUGUGGGCAUUUCCAGGGGUAGUUUUAUGACCCUUCCUCUGCACCGUGAACCUAAGGAAACACACAUGUGACAAGGCUUUCCUAGGAGUUGUGGGCAUUUCCAGGGGUAAUUUUGUGACCCUGGUGGUAGUGUGACCCUUCCUCUGCCCAUGAACUUAAGGAAACACACAUUUGGCAAGGCUUUCCUAGGAGUUGUGGGCAUUUCCAGGGGUAGUUUUGUGACCCUGGUGGUAGUGUGAACCUAAGGAAACACACAUUUGCCAAGGCUUUCCUAGGAGUUGUUGGCAUUUCCAGGGGUAGUUUUCUGACCCUGGUGGUAGUGUGACCCUUCCUCUGUACCGUGAACCUAAGGAAACACAUUUGCCAAGGCUUUCGUAGGAGUUGUGGGCAUUUCCAGGGGUAGUUUCAUGACCCUGGUGGUAGUGUGACCCUUCCUCUGUUCUUUGAACCUAAGGAAACACACAUUUGGCAAGGCUUUCCUAGGAGUUGUGGGCAUUUCCAGGGGUAGUUUUGUGACCCUCUGUACCGUGAACCUAAGGAAACACACAUUUGGCCAGGCUUUCGUGGGAGUUGUGGGCAUUUCCAGGGGUAGUUUCAUGACCCUGGUGGUAGUGUGGCCCUUCCUCUGUACUGUGAACCUAAGAAACACAUUUGCCAAGGCUUUCCUAGGAGUUAUGGGCAUUUCCAGGGGUAGUUUUGUGACCCUUCCUCUGUACCGUGAACCUAAGGAAACACAUUUGGCAAGGCUUUCUUAGGAGUUGUGGGCAUUUCCAGGGGUAGUUUCAUGACCCUGGUGGUAGUGUGACCCUUCGUCUGUACCAUGAACCUAAGGAAACACACAUUUGGCAAGGCUUUCCUUGGAGUUGUGGGCAUUUUCAGGGAUAGUUUCAUGACCCUGUGGUAGUGAGACCCUUCCUCUGUACCGUGAACCUAAGGAAACACACAUUUGGCAAGGCUUUCCUAGGAGUUGUGGGCAUUUCCAGGGGUAGUUUCAUGACCCUGGUGGUAGUGUGACCCUUCCUCUGUACCGUGAACCUAAGGAAACACACAUUUGCCAAGGCUUUCCUAGGAGUUGUGGGCAUUUCCAGGGGUAGUUUCAUGACCCUACCUCUGUACCGUGAACCUAAGGAAACACACAUUAGGACCCAUCUGACCUGCGAUUUGACCCAAUAAGAUGGUUGGUGUGAGGGUCAGACAGCAGGGUCACCACAGGGGCUUUGUACAAAUAAAAAUCUCCCUAUAACUUGACCAUAACCCUGCCCCCAAGUACUACUGCGAAGAGGUCACUGCCUGGGUGGAACUGCCAUAAUUUGUGUGUGUGUGAGGAAGAAGAGAAGGAGGAGGAAGAUGAUUAUAGAUUUUUCCCUUUCAGAUGUGAAGGUAUUUCUCUCUCUCUCUCUCUCUCUCUCUCUCUCUCUCUCUCUCUCUCUCUCUCU